AGGUAAGAGUCCUUGCUCUAAUUCUCCUUCUCAAUGUGGUGGAGUUGUUAUUUCCCCUCCAUUAUUUACUCGUGUAGCUCCUGACUGGGCCAUGCAGCAACACAGGGCCCAGGGGUUUGGGGGAAUUAAACCCAGCUGGAUCCAACGCAGGUCUGCUCUCAGAUGAUUCCUGAGUUCAUGAAUCUGCAAACCAAGAUCUCCAAGGUGCCUGCAGCAGGAUGGGCUCCAGCUCUGAAUCCCAGAGCUGCCCCUGAGUGAGGAUCAACUCUUCAGAGAGGCACAGGGAGCCCUGCAGCUGCUCCUGCAGCCCCUGGGCACUCCCAGUGUGGAACAGGCUCCUGGAAUGCUGCUGGGAUACAGCCCUGGGGCUCUCUGCCUGCCCAUUUUAACCACUGGAAGUUGCAGGAGAUUCCCAAAAAGGAAUCCAGAAUUCCCAAGAAGGUGGAGGGAACACCCACAGCCCCCAGGAGGAUCUGCCCCGUGCCAGGGACUGGCUCAGCACCUCAGUGGGAAGUUUGUGCAGAAUGGAUGUCCUGAAGGCAAGAGGAGGAGGGAGAGGCUGUGAAUCCUUUCCCUGUCCCAGAGGAGAGGCCAGGGAGAGGAGCCUGGAGGUGUUUUAGCAGAGGAGAGCUGCAGCAGUGAUGACAGUGCCAGGUAAAUCACUGCUCAGCACUGGGACGCUGCUGCUCAGCAGGGACAGAUGAACUCCACCCAGCCAUGUUUGCCAUCAGCCACGUCCCUGCGAGGGUUUCUGAGUGCCAGUGCUGUAAGAUCAGAGCUGGAGGUGGACAAGGGCUGGGGGAGUCCCAGGGCUUUGGGGUUUUGUGUUUCUGUUAAAGCAGAUUGAGGUGGGGGGAGUCAAACACUCAGUUCUGGAUUGACCUGGUUUGAAUGGGAAAGCAAAGAGAAAUUCACCUCAAUUUGUGUGUUUGCUCCCCUCUUGCCUUUAGCAGCUGUCACCUCCCCGUGCUGCUGGGCAUCCUCCAAGGCAUUCUGUGCUUUCCAACACCACAAAUGUCCCAGUUCCCUUUGGAAUUGUGUGGUUUCCCUGUCUGCUCAGCUUUGCAGGGACAUGAUCCCCGUGGCUGCUGUCACCCCCACAGCUCCCCUGCAGUCCCCCAGCUCUGGGGCUGCUGCUGGGGGUGACACAGGCACCACUGACAUCUUCCUUUCCCUCCUCUUCAGCUGCUCUUCUUGCUUUAUUUUUAUUUCCUGUAACAUAUGCUCCCGUGGCUUUUCCUUCUCGCACAGAAAUGCUUUCAACAGGCACGUUUGAGGCUGGCUUUGUUUCUGUGUAAAUAACUUUUCCAUGCCUUUAUGGAAUGAGAAGUGAAUAUCAAAAAAAACUAAACAACAGGGAGAAAAAAGAUCUCAUCUUCAAGAUGAGAUCCAUCCAACUGUGGAGAAAGCAUUAUUAUAUAAAUUACAUCUCCAUUAUAAAUUUACAACUAAACAUGUUUGGAAUUUCCCACUUGUCAAAGCCGUCCUACAGGAACUGCUCCAUCCCCAAACUCCUGAGGAACUUGUGUCAGGACAAGGCUGAGCUACUGCAGCAGGAUGUGAACAAAGCCCAGUCCCAGCCACUGAAUUCAAUGCCAAUUUGCCACUGUCCUCACUGGAUUCUGGAAUGAGUCCCCAGCUGGGACAGCAAAAUUCCUUCAGACUCCUCCUCAUCUCUUGGAGGAGAACAAGACAAAGGAGGUGGUUCCAGGCCCAAUAUCUCACACAACUCAACUACACUUGAUUAUUAUUUGCUUCUCCCAGCCUGAAAAGAAUCCCACUCCCAGAUUUGUCUGUCUUAGCCCUGCUGAAGCUGAGCACUUUCAUACAUAUGUAUGGAUAGCUUAAGUUUUUAUGAGCAUAAUUUGGGCUUUUCAAAAUAGUGACACAAUAACAAAGCAAAAUUGAGACACGCAUGUAAUUUGAAUACUGAUUUGGUUUUAUCUUUUCCUGGUGCUGGCACUUUUGAUGCUGCUCUUUUCCACUCCAUCUUCCCUCUGUUCUUAUUCCCAAUGAAUGGAGUUAUUUGGGAGGGCAUCUGUGGCUUCCACCAACCCAAACCAAAGCCUGCUCCGUGACCUUGCUGAGAGUUUUGGAGAGUUUCUGCUAGCUCUGGAUUUCCUAUCAGCUCCCUGGAGCUCCUGCUGCUCCUGUCAAGCAGGGAAACCUCUGGCAGAAGCUCCUGGCUCUGUUCUGUGCAGCUCCAAACCACAUUUCUGUUCAUUUCUGCACUCUGAGGAUGCUGCCAAGGACCUUUGCUGGUUGUUUGGGGCCCAGCACCCUCAGAGCUGUUGGUGUCCCCUGAGGACAGGAUUCCCAGCCAGGUGAGGAGCCAGGGCUGUGGCUGCUCUGCUGCUGGGCCAUCUCCCAGGCUCUGAGAACCACAAAUGCUGCAGCUCUGACCUGUCUCCUCAGCCUUUUUUGAGGUUUCUGAGGCAGACCCCCAGCCCUGUGACACCUGAACAGCAGCACAGAGGCCCCUCAGACAGAUCUGAGCAGUUCUGUGUCGUGGAGAGCCUGAUCCUCAAAAUUAUUCAUUAAAAAUACCCACUUAAUAAUUUCAAAGAGAAAGCUGAAAGAUGCUCAGGGGCAAUCUGUGAACAGAAAAAGGGGGUUAAAUUCACCUAAUAAAUUAUUUGCAGACUGAAUAAUUCAUGGGAAAUCCAGGGCACAUUUAGAGGGGUUUGACUGGGGCUGUCAGCUCCUCUGGAAUGGGAAGAUACCUCAGAACUUGGCAUGUUCUAAGGCAGAAUUUCCACCUGGAACCAGAUGUGUGGGUGAAGUUUCCUGAAGACCCCAGCCAGUGCCUGGUGUUAGAGGGAAAGCCAUAAAAAACCCUUACAGAUGGUUUAUCCUGUCCCUGUCUGACACUGGAGGCUUCCAGCAGAAAUGGGAAUGAAGGUUUUGGGAUAACCAGGACAACCUGGCAGCCACAGCCACGGGUUUGAACUUUAUUGGAUUAAAGUGCAGCAGAUGUGGGAGUGAGAGGGCAGGUGUGGAUCAUGCUCUGCUCACCUCAGGAACUGCUGUGUCACAGACAGCUUGAAAUUAUCAGAUAUAAACAGAAAUGAAGAUCUAAGAGCUCCCUGGAGGCUGUAAACACUGGGCUUCAUCUCGUGGCAAAGGGUUAAACUCAGCACUAGCUCUGGGUUUAUUUUAACUUGGGAUAAAGUUUCCAAGAGGUUCAUGAAAAUAAGCUGAGGUUUGUCCAAAUGCAAUGGAAAACCUGGAAUUUUACUACAUGAAGCAGGUAACGAAAGGAACACACAAAACUUUGUAAACAGAGGUGUUAAAACAAAUUUAAUAAUAGACUUUUUAAACUCCCAGAUCACUGUCAGAGUAUAUAUGUGUUAAAAGACCUAUAAAUAUAUUUUAAAGCAAUCUUAUUUUCCUUUCACUUAGCUGCCAAGAUCUCCAUUAGGAGGUUUGUGUUUCCUUCCAACAUUAAAGAAUCUCUCUAACAUCUGUAGCGAUGAGCACUGAAGAGUGUCAGUUCUGCUUCUGAAACAAGCAGUGCCACCAUUUGAAGGAGGAAAAAUGUGAAAUAAUGAAUAUGCUUCCGCAGAUCAGGCUGCUGUGUGUAACAGGAGAUGUGCAGAGCCUCGUGCCAGGUUUGAUCUCCUGAGUUUCUCCUCUCCACCUCUAAGGAGUGCAGUUAUUGAUGCAAAACUUGGAGAAAGUAUUGCCCAAAGUGCCACAGAACACUGCAAGGGCUGUGCUGAGUCCUUCCCUUCCCUUCCCUUCCCUUCC